rnacentral:rRNA from 1 species
GAUGAACGCUGGCGGCGUGCCUAAUACAUGCGAGUCGAGCGAACGGACGAGAAGCUUGCUUUUCUGAUGUUAGCGGCGGACGGGUGAGUAACACGUGGAUAACCUACCUAUAAGACUGGGAUAACUUCGGGAAACCGGAGCUAAUACCGGAUAAUAUUUUGAACCGCAUGGUUCAAAAGUGAAAGACGGUCUUGCUGUCACUUAUAGAUGGAUCCGCGCUGCAUUAGCUAGUUGGUAAGGUAACGGCUUACCAAGGCAACGAUGCAUAGCCGACCUGAGAGGGUGAUCGGCCACACUGGAACUGAGACACGGUCCAGACUCCUACGGGAGGCAGCAGUAGGGAAUCUUCCGCAAUGGGCGAAAGCCUGGCGGAGCAACGCCGCGUGAGUGAUGAAGGUCUUCGGAUCGUAAAACUCUGUUAUUAGGGAAGAACAUAUGUGUAAGUAACUGUGCACAUCUUGACGGUACCUAAUCAGAAAGCCACGGCUAACUACGUG